rnacentral:rRNA from 1 species
CGAACGCUGGCGGCGUGCCUAAUACAUGCAAGUCGAACGCACUCUCGUUUAGAUUGAAGGAGCUUGCUCCUGAUUGAUAAACAUUUGAGUGAGUGGCGGACGGGUGAGUAACACGUGGGUAACCUGCCCUAAAGUGGGGGAUAACAUUUGGAAACAGAUGCUAAUACCGCAUAAAACCUAACACCGCAUGGUGUAGGGUUGAAAGAUGGUUUCGGCUAUCACUUUAGGAUGGACCCGCGGUGCAUUAGUUAGUUGGUGAGGUAAAGGCUCACCAAGACCGUGAUGCAUAGCCGACCUGAGAGGGUAAUCGGCCACACUGGGACUGAGACACGGCCCAGACUCCUACGGGAGGCAGCAGUAGGGAAACUUCCACAAUGGACGAAAGUCUGAUGGAGCAACGCCGCGUGAGUGAAGAAGGUUUUCGGAUCGUAAAACUCUGUUGUUGGAGAAGAAUGUAUCUGAUAGUAACUGAUCAGGUAGUGACGGUAUCCAACCAGAAAGCCACGGCUAACUACGUG